UGGAGAGGUGGCCGAGUGGUUGAAGGCGCAGACCUGGAAAGUCUGUUUGGGGGUGACUUCAACGAGGGUUCGAAUCCCUCCCUCUCCGU
rnacentral:tRNA from 2 species